UUCCUCCGUUAAGUAAUGCUAGCGUGCACGUUGGGUAGCCUGCGCGAAUAUAUAAUAUUGUGCGCAAUAGCCUCACACACACACACUCAAGCAGUCACAUCUACAUGACUUACGCCUGACGCUCGAUUCCCCAAGAAGGUCGUACUACAAACCGGUACCUAGCAUAGAUGUUUACACAUCAAAAAUUGAUUAUUAAAUAAAAAUGAAAAAAAUUCAAUGUGAUUACUGAUUAUAAUAUGAACCUUAUAACAUAAGAGAUUAUGUUUAAAUAUUUUUAUAACGCGAUAGUAGAGUCUAAUUAAUGUGUUUUACAUUCAUAACAUUUCAUAAUAUUUAAUUCGUACCUACACGUAUCUUUGUGAACAGUACCUAAUAUAAAUUGUAUACUAAUUAGAUUGUUUAUGAAUAAUUGGGACGUGGGUUUAGUUGUAUUAUCUAUAUACUUUAUUUAAAACCUGAUGGAAUUUGAUAAAUAAUUUAUUAAAACAUAGACUUGUGCAUCAAACGUUGAUCAUGUUAUUCAGCAAGUUGUACAACACAUUUUCGGGAAGAUCGAUAUUCUAUCAACAUUUUGAUAAUAAGGUUGUAAGUUAUCCCAGGGUUGCAAUUCGCCAGAUCCAUAUAUCGCAUACACCAAAGAUGAUACUGUCAUAACUGCCAUCAUAAUCCAAAACACAAGACGCCACUCUAACACAGUUCUCUGAAAAAUCAAAAAAGUAAUAAAUUAUUAGGCAUUUAUUCACAUCAAGUAUUUGGGUACAAAUUUAAGAAACAAUAUAUCAAUACUAUAGGAAGCCUAUAUGUUAGACAUGCAAUAAAUUUUAAUGUCAGUUGGUGGUCACCAAAGGUAAAAAUGAAAUUCAAAUACUACUCGUAUUUAUUUUACUAAACGAAUAAAUUAAUUUUUAAUUCAUUAUUAUUAUAAGAGUUUACCUUAAAAUACCAUGGUAAAUUCUUUUAUAUUUACUGUGAACAAAAUAUUUUCAUUAACUAUAAUAUUAUUACCAAUAUUAGUAGAAAACGCUAAAUGAAGAACUAAUUAAACUAAAAU